UAUAUGCCAACAUUAGACGAGAUGCCUUGUUUGAGCCUGCACUUUCAAGGAAGAGGGAAAAGGAGUUUGGAACCACUGCCCUGCCUCUGGGACUAGCUGUUGCUACAGUACAGUACUGCACACGUCUUGCCUGCUGAUUGCUGUAAUAGUAAUUCUGAAUCAACCACUUAGACUCCAGCAGGAUUGCUCUACACAGAUGUGUGUGAUUUACAUUGAGUGCCUGGCUUGGCUCCAGAGGAGUCCUGGCAUGUGAGAACUGAAGGGAGCUCAGAUUAUGCCAUUUUCCAUGUUCAGCAUCCAGCUGUGUCUGCAAAAGAGCAAAUCAUCACUAACUGCAGGAGUUAGACUCUGUGAGGUAUCUAGUAACAAAAAAGGGGGUGUAAGAAGAAGUGGAAAUGAAAGGAACAAGAUGAAAUGAGAGAAAAAGGAGAGGAAUGAGUGGAGCAAGAGCAAGGGAUGCAGAAGUGCUUUUACUUACAGCAUGGCAAGAGAAUUCUGCUUCAAAGAAUUCAUGAGAUUAUGGCCUGUGGUUCAAGUCUUUAAUUUAAUCUUUUUCAGCUUUAACCAUGUUUUAAUACAAUAACAUCUGUCUUAUAAAUGAUGUAACUGGCAAUUACAAUUCCUGUGGUUGUCUAGAUGUUCUGCAGAACAUGCUUCUGAAAACUACAGCAAUUACUUCUGUGAAUGAUUAAUUAGGAAAAUAAUCUCAUAUUUUGUAUACUCUUAUAGUAUGUAAGAAAUAGGUCAAUGUAAGGUGAUGAAAGUGUAGAGCUUUUUUCUCCUGUAGUGGCUAUUAAUACUUUAGUGAUCACUAUUAGUUUAGAGAGAUCAUCAAGCUUUCAGACAGUUAAAAAUUAUUUCAAAAUAUUUUGUGCAGUUGUAUGCACACCAGAAAGAGCAAUUACUUUUGAAUUCAUUUAUCAUGUCAGUUUAUUUUUACCUUUAGACUAAGUAGGAAAACUGCUU